GUCGAUUUGUACGUGGCUUACAGAUUUGGAAACUCUACUUGGUUUGUAGUUUUGUUGGUACCUGCUUAGUUAUCCAAAACUUACACAAUGUGAUGUGCUUGAGAGGUCUGGAAUUUUUGUUGACACCUGCAACCCAAACUGGCCUUGAAAAUAUUUCACCCAUUUCAGGUGUAUUCGUAAUCAUGGUCACUGAGAUACCUCAGUGUCAGAUGUCGGAGGGACUCCAAAACCUGGACGAGCCAAAACCAGGGAAGAACCCAUGCACAUACUAUUGUAAUAUCGGUAAAAGCUCUUAUGCCUUGGCAGAGAUCAAAUUGACUUGGCCGAGAUAAUGCUGGAACAUGGUCUGGAGUGAGUACUUCUGAACACAUUUGUACUUUCCA